rnacentral:rRNA from 1 species
AUGGAAAAAGAUCUGAGGUUUUUUAAACUAGAUUUUGCUAAGAUGGUGGCUGACAAGGAGCAUGCAAUUACUGAAUUGGGCAAUGCAAGACUUGCUCUUUCUGACCUAAAGCAAGAGCUUGAGAAGAAGAAGUUGUCUGAUAAAUCUACUACUAGCAUCCAUCAGGUUGUGAGGGCUAAGGCAAAGAAAGAGAGGGAUGAGAUGAAGCAACAGAUGGACAAAAUGAAGGAAGAGAUGGAGAAAAUGAAGGAAGAGAUGGAAAAAGUGGUGUCACAGAGGGAUGACCUGAAGAAGGAGAAGAAGAAACUAGAGUACAUGAUUGGUGAUUUAUUCAGGCACAAGGAGGAGACCAAGAGCAAGAUAAGGUGGGUGAAGGAGAUCUUAGAUGAAUUUGAGUAA